rnacentral:rRNA from 1 species
UACAGAGGUCUCAAGCGUUGUUCGGAUUCAUUGGGCGUAAAGAGCGCGUAGGCGGUCCGUUAAGUCGGCUGUGAAAGUCAAGGGCUCAACCCUUGAAAGCCGGCCGAUACUGUCGGACUAGAGUCCGGAAGAGGCGAGUGGAAUUCCCGGUGUAGCGGUGAAAUGCGCAGAUAUCAGGAGGAACACCAAUGGCGAAGGCAGCACUCUGGGACGGUACUGACGCUGAGACGCGAAAGCGUGGGGAGCAAACAGG